rnacentral:sRNA from 1 species
CGAUAUACCUGUGCGUAGCCGAUUUUGUAUCAUUAUUAUUUGUCCUUUCGGCCUGAACACAUCAAAAUUUGUUGUCUAGUCUCAAAUUAUUUCUUUUGUUCGGUUCAAAAACUUGUACGGAUUGAUCAUGUGUUGCGGACCCUGUGGACCCUGCUGCGGACCUUGCUGCGGACCCUGCUGUGGUCCAUGCGGACCCUGCUGCGGUCCAUGCGGAGGAGGAUGUGGACCCUGCUAUGGACCGAAUGUCUGCGGACCUUGCUAUGCCUGUGGACCCUGUGGCGGUUGCUACUGUGGAUAUCCCUGCUGCUAGAUAGUUGCACCUGGUCAUCGCCAAGAGGGGUUCCCCAGAACACCAGGACAAUACGGUAGUACUACUGUCUAUUCCAUCCUCGAGGCCACCCAGCUUGCGUCUGGUAUUCAUCUAAUGUUCGUGAACCACAAUGAAGUAUUUGAGACGAAAUAAAAAUGAAGUGUAAGCUUCAAAA